rnacentral:tRNA from 1 species
UCAUUAAGAAGCUAAAUAGCGUUAACCUUUUAAGUUAGAGAUUGAAAGCUUAAACCUUUCCUUAAUGAU